rnacentral:tRNA from 1 species
GCACCAAUGGUUUAGUGGUAAAAUCUGCGCUUCCCAUGCGCAGGCCACGGGUUCGAUUCCCGUUUGGUGCA